rnacentral:rRNA from 1 species
CCUACGGGUGGCAGCAGUGAGGAAUAUUGGUCAAUGGGCGCAAGCCUGAACCAGCCAAGUCGCGUGAAGGAUGACUGCCCUACGGGUUGUAAACUUCUUUUAUCAGGGAGUAAAGUGCGCCACGUGUGCCUUUUUGUAUGUACUUUAUGAAUAAGGAUCGGCUAAUCCCGUGCCCGCAGCCGCGGGAAUACGGAGGGACCGAGCGUUUUCCGGGUUUAUUUGGUUUAAAGGGGGCGGUGAGGGGUAGUUAAGUCAGUUGUGAAAGUGUGCGGGUCAAACGUAAAAUUGCCAUUGAUACUGGCAGUCUUGAGUGCAGGUGAGGUAUGCGGAAUGCGUGGUGUAGCGGUGAAAUGCUUAGAUAUCACGAAGAACUCCGAUUGCGAAGGCAGCUUACUAA